AGGCGGAAGGUCCUACUGCUGGAGAUGAAGAAGAAUCUGAGAAGUCAGUAUCUGAGGUGAAUGAUGAGGAUGAUGAUGAGGAGGGCAGUGGCGAGGUUUCUUUUUAUUCUUUUUUGCGUCAUUGCCUUGUGGUUUGUGGUAAUUAUUUGCAUGAUAUUUACUUGGUAUUGUUUAUUUCAUGCAGGAGGAGGAUGAUGAUUAGAGAGUGGACUGAUAACAAUUUAUGUAGGUUUUGAUGAUUUGGAUCAUCUUUUGUAGGUGGUCUGGUCAUUUCCUGAUGAUAAACAAACAUGUUUCUUUCUUCCAGAAAAAUAUUUCUCUGCUCCCUCCGUAAAAUUGUUUUGUCUGUCCAAAACGUGAAUAGUUGAAAGAUGGGAGAUCUUUAUUUGUACUUCUAAAUCCAACUGCUUAGUUAAGGGGUGCUUAUCUUUUGUAGAGCUUUUAGUUUGAUUUAGUUCUCUUGUUGAAAUCUGGUUAAGUUUGUAUGAAUAUAAUUGGCUUAUCUUCCCAUUUCUGCUGUAUAUAUACAUAUGCUAUGAUGCGUCACACUUCAUUCAUGUUGCUGUGCUGUAUGUUUUGUUUUUUUUUUUUGUGAUUUUAAUGUUUUGGGUGUUGUGUUCUGCACCUGAUGUAUGUGUUUUUUCAAUUUAAUGUUGCAUUGUAUCAACAUUCAUACGUGUUUUUCUAUUUGAAGUUGAAUUAUCUCAACAUUUAUUUUGAACUAAUGUUUGGCGAUAUUAAAACGUAGUUUUAAAACGAUAAAAGUUGCUGCUUUAAAAUGUAAUUGAUUAGUGUUGCUUUAAAACGAUAAAAGUUGCUGCUUUAAAAUGUAAUUGAUUAGUGUUGCUUUAAAACGUAAUUUUAAUAAAACUUUAUCGAAAUUUUAUAAUGGUGAGGUAUAUCCUUCAUCGUGUAAUCAGUUUACAUGUGUAUUUUUGUUGUUGUUGGAUCAUUUGACGAAUUUUGACUGAUGAUGAUGGUUGAUUGUAUAGUGUUUGUUGGUACUUUUCCAGUCAUGUAAUGCAUAAAAGCAUGAUCUCACAGAUUAACUGUUUCUAUUUUAUAUACAAAAGUUGUUUGUAGUUUUUCUUUCUUGUAAAAGUAUAUUUUGAAUAUUUUUCCGUUGGAAUUGUUCUAUACUUGUACUAUAAUUAUUUCAUAUACUUAAAUUUGAUCCAUUUAUAAUCCCUAUAGAAGACAAUUUAAUAUACUUUUGAUGUAUAUUAAUAUUUAUAAAAAAUAUCUUAAGUAAUUAUUUUUUAAGAACAUAUUUUUAUAAAAGAAAUUAGAUAUUAGUCUUCUGUUUGUUAUCUAUAUUAUAAUCUAGGUCGUAUUAUUUGGUUAGGGUUUUUUUGUAAUUUUAGCAAAUGUUUAAAUGUAUAGACAUGAAUAUGUAAUGGUAGUUGGGUAUUAAAUGUAUUCGCAUAAAUAUGUAAUGGCAGUUGGAUAUUAAAUAUAUAGUCAUUAAUUUGUAAAUCUGACUAUUGGAUAUUUAAGUAUACAAUCAUACAUACGCAAUAUUUAGUUAUAAAUUUUCAAAUUGACCAUGAAAUUAUUAAGAAUGCAAUUAAAUUAAUUUAAUGAGUUGAACUAUAUGUGUUUGUAUUUGAAGUAGUUUUUGAAUAUUUGAAGUAGUUUUUGAUUUAUUUUUGUGUAUAGAAUGAACAUUUUAGUAAUUUAGCAUAUUUUAAUAUUGUAUUAUAUUAGUGCAAAUUGUUCUGUUCCUUUUAAAACUCAUACCAUAAGAUUUGUGUUUGGAUUGGUUGUGAAUUUUGUUAAAUUAUUUGUGUUAUAAUAUUCUUUUUUAUCUUGUUUAAAUAUAUAUAUAUAUAUAUAUAUAUAAAUAAAAAUAUAUAUUUUAAAAAUUGAAAAUAUAUAUUGUGUGUUGUUUUAGUGUGAUUAAAAUGAUUUUUUUGAAUAAAUUUCUGAUAUUUCAAUUUUCUUUUGUAUAUGAUAUUUUGAUUUAGUUAUAUCAUUUGUUGGUUUUUCAUAUAUUUGUCAAUAUAAGGUUAUAAUGUAAUUAUAUUAUAACAUUUUUUAUAAUUAUUAUUUUUAUAUAUAAAGGGAUUUCCUUUUAACUGUUUUUUUUUUUAUAAAUUUUAUCCUCAUAUUAAUAUUUAUUUUAUUAUUUUAUCAUUCUUCUGAGUAGUUACUAAAUAUAUUAUGAUUUUUAUAAAAUUAUAUUUUGAAAACUAUUCUUUUUUCUUUUUAAAACUAAUAUUUUAAAAAAAUUAAUAUCUGUUGAGUUUUCUUUUUUUUUUUUACAUGUUUUUUAUUAUUUUAUUUAAUUAUUAUUUUGUAACUACUUGAAUUUGAAAUGGUAAAAUUAAAAAAUAUUACUUAAAUUGAAAAUUGAGAAAAAAAAACUAAUUGAAACAUCAGAAAUAUAUAAAAAAUUCUUUCUUUAAAUGUUUUUAAGUAUAUACAAUUUUAUUCCUAUAGGUAAAUAUCAAUAAAUUUGUUUAGAAGAUCGAAAAAGAGAUAUUUAAAAGAAUAAAGAGUAGGAGGAAGAAAGGAUGAUGGUUUGUUUUGAUGAGAAUAGAAGAGGUAAAUGAGGGUGUAAAACACAGGAAAAUUUCCUGUUUAUAAACACAGAAAAAAAAAAAAACGAAAAUCAGUGUCGUAUUUCGCUCUUUGCUUUCGUACACCUCGUCUUCCACGGCACACUCAUUUUGUUCCACAAAUUCUUCACCCAAUGCAGCAUCGACGCAACUCUUUGCUUCUAAACGUGAGUCUCUCACCUCUAAUUUUGUUACUUCUUUCUUUUGCUUAGGCACAAGUUGCUUUAGGUUGUUAAGGUUCUUCGCAAUACACCUUCUUUUGUUGUCAAUUUUUAAUUUUAAUUAUUAUUCGUUGCAUGAAAUUAAACUGAUCAAUCGCAAUUCGGCUGUUGCUUGGAUUUGAGAAUUAGCUCUUGGCUUUCUGAAUUAAUUUCCUUAGCAAUGCAAUUGGGUUCAGUUUGCGUUUAAGUAUUGGUGGAUGUUGAGAAAGAAAGGACAUAGGGAAGAAAAGGGAUUAACAUGCUCUUAAGGAUAAGAAAAAAUAAUCAUAUUUUAUUAUAUUUAUUUUUUAUGUAAUAUUUUUCAUAAUUAAUAAUAAUUGGGAUGAAUUUUUUAUUAUUAUUUAAUGAUAUCAUGUUUAUUAUUUAAAAAUAAAAAUGUAGAGGUUAUAAGGUUUUUACAUGCAUCUGCUGUUGUAAUUAUUAUACUGAAAACUAUUUUUAUUUCUUUUAUUCAGAUGCUUAAAAUUGACUGGUUAUAUAAUUGAAAAACGAUCAAAAAUUGAAAACUGACCCAUUCUAACUUGUUACUUUAGAUUUUGAUUUGAGUAAGUAAUGAUUUAUUAUUAUGUUUUCAUUUAAUAAUAUUUGUGUAGAGUUAAUCCACAAGUAAUAAGAACCUAAAAGUAUUGUUUAAUUGUUUGAUGAUAAAAGAAUGAAGAUAUGAGAACGUGUAUUUUGUUACUGUGAAUGAAAAAUAUAACCAAGAUUAUGAAACAAAAUAUUAAUGAUAGUCAGAUAUGAGAGUGAAACUUGUUUACUAUGGUUAUCAAUUUGUUUUUAUUAAAAUUAGAUACUAAAGGAGCAUUAUAAUUUUUAAUAAUAAAAUUAUAUAAUUGAUUUAUAAAUGAGUGAAAAUUAUAAAUAAUUAAUUAUAUUAAAAUAGUUUAAGACAGUUUUUUUAUUUCAAUAAUAUUUUAUUAUAACAUGUUUAACAUUUUUUUCUCAUAAAUCACUUUGAUUUCUUUUGUAAAAAUAUUUAGUCUGUGUAAUUUAAAGUUUAUAUUAAAUUUAAAAAUAUAAUCUUUUGUAAAUAAUAGUCUUUUUUGUUGUUGAGCCAAUUUAUUAAAGUAAAAAUAUAAUCAAAUUUUUAAUUUUAUUUGGUAUUGAAUUCUUCUAUAUCUUGGAUGCAAAAUCAGUACUAUUAUCUUUUAAUUUUAACAAUUAUAUAGUUUUAUACUUAUUAAAACUAUUGGUGAAGUUUAUUUGAUGUUUUAAUUUAUAUGUUUUUUAAAACUUUAUUUUAUUUUUUACUAGCAUAUAUUUAAUAGUAAAAUAUUGAAUACACACAAAAUUAAUUUCAAAGUGUGUGAGUUUAUAUUCAGUGUUAUGAUAUUGGACUUUUGCCCAUAUGAUGCAUUUUCAACUUUUACUAGAUUAGCUUGAAAAACUUUUUACUCAGUGCAUAUCAUUUCACCAAGUAUAUCUUUAUUUUUUAAAACUCACUAAACAUUUUGAAAUUGGGUUUCCAAAUUUUGUAAUCACAUACACAAUGUUAUUUUCUUAUUUAGUUUAUUUUCUCAUAUUUGACAUUUGUUUAUAUUUUUUUUUAUUUUGGAUUUUUUAUUAUGUCAUUUCUCUGUUUUUUAUUAUCUCAAAAUUGCAUUAUUUAUUAUUUUUAUCAUCAUUGAAUAGUUUUACAUAAAUUAAAUUAAUUUCAUUAAUCUUUUUUUGAAAAUGUAAUUUUUUAUUGUACAAGAUACUGUUUUGAAACAAUCAAAUUCAAGAAAGUUUAUUUUAACAGUGUUUUUCUACUUUUAAUUUUUUUUAUUUCUUCCCUAUAUUUUUUAAUAUAAACAAACUCAGGGAGAUGUUCUUAUGUAUAAAGUUUUUCAUCAUUUCACAGGUGAACAACAAAAAAUCACUAGUGAAGACAACUGAAAAAGAAACAAGUUCUUUAACUUCUGUCAUAUACAAAGAAAUGUCUUUCUUAUAUACCUCUACCUUAUUGUAGAGGAGAAUAAUGACUGUAUAUAAUCAUAUCUCACUGCUGCUUAAACAUUCAUACUACUUAAUCAUAUUUGCUUUACUUAUAAUAUGUUCUAUGAAAGAAACAUUUCAUAACUAGUUGAAUGAAAUUGGUGUAUGCAUUUGCUAAGAACAUAGUUCUUUAUUGCAAUGUAGGCACAUAUAGUUGAAAUUUCAUAGGUUCUUUCAGUCAUUAUUUUCAAGAAAUGGAUAAUCUGUGUAUCCAACAACAGGAUCACUGGUGUAAAAAGUUCUUCUAUCAGGCUUGUUCAAUUCAGCAUCCAUUUCAAAUCUCCUUGGUAGAUCUGGAUUAGCCAAAAACAAGCGUCCAUAAGCCACCAAAUCUGCACCAUCAUCGGCAACCACUUUGUUUCCACCACUCUUAUUGUACCCCCCUGCAACAAUAAAGGUUCCACCAAAAGCCUUUCUGAUAGGCAACAAGGACAUAUUGGUCUCACACUUUUCAAACAUUGUAAUCAUCCUGGGUUCAAUGACAUGACAAUAAAGAAUGUCCAAUUUGCUUAAGGAUUGUGCCAUAUAAAUGCCCAAUGCUUGAGGGUCAGAGUCUUUGCAAUCACAAUAGUUAGCAAAAGGAGACAGUCUAACACCAACUUUCUCUGAUCCAAUCUCAUCAACUAUUGCCUUCACAACCAUGAGUGGAAAUCGACAACGAUUCUCUAAGCUACCUCCAUAUUCAUCAUCUCUGUCGUUCACAUGGUCUUUAAGGAACUGCUCAAUUAAGUAUCCAUUGGCUCCAUGUAUCUCCACACCAUCAAUGCCUGAAUAAAUUACCAGUUGAAUCACACAUAUAUUGACUUUGUCACAUUAUCUUCUUCAUUAACAUGAAGUUUUUAGUAACACAAUUUUUUAUUAAAUAUGAUUGAGUAUAAAUAUAUCACUUAAGCACUUUAGCAUAUCACAUGCAUGCAAGUAUGUAGGUAACAUUUUGUAGAGUCAAAUCACAUUUUGAAUGAGGAACUAGAAGAAGAAGAGGAAUCUGUUGAGCAAAAGUUACUACCAGCUUCUAUAGCAUUUUUUGCUGCCAUUCUGAAGUCAUUGACAAUCAUAGGUAUUUCAUCUGUUCUGAGAGGACGUGGAGGGGGGUAUUUAGUGCUGCUACCUUCAAUUGCCUUGUUUGUACUUGAAAUUGGAGGUUCUCCAUUUGGCUGAUACACUGUUCAAUAUAUAUUAUCAAUGUUUACCGCAUCAUUCGUGCAAAACUUCAAAAUAAUUAAUGAAGGUUGAAAUUUAAAUGAAAGUUCAGAGACACCAUCAUAUGCACUAUAGUACUGUCAUAUAGAGUUUCUAGUGAAGGGGAAUAAAUACAAAUAUGAAUACCAUAGUUGGAGACUCUUCCAGCAUGCCAAAGUUGGCAAAAGAAUAUACCCCCUUUCUGGUGAACAGCUCUCACAAUUGGUUUCCAUGCUUCCACUUGUUCUCUUGUCCAAAUGCCUGGUGUAUUUGGGUAUCUUUAACAAGGAAAAAAGAUGCAACAAAUGAAUUAAUCAAAUUUCUGGGUACCAAAGCUUUUUGUGGUUGACCAGUUUUGAAAAACAUGUUAGUUUAUGUUUCUUCCUUUUUGCCAAUGUGUCUAGUUUCUGAAAUUCCUAGGAAUCAUACAUUGAGGUUAUUCACUUGAGAAAAAUACAGAAAAAAAUGAAAAGAAUGGAAGAUAAGACUACCCUUGUGCAGUUUCUGACACCCCUGAGGCUUCUCCAAUCAAAAGUCCACCCUUUGUUGUUCGUUGAGAAUAAUAGAGAGCAGCAUGAGGCUGAGCCACGAAGUUGUAAGAUCUUGUUCUUGUUAAUGGUGCCAGAACAAUCCUACAGCAUGGAACACAUAUUAACCAUUUCUCUAUACACUGAGUUAGAAUUUGGUUUGAGGAACCAAUAUGUGGUGAUCAAGGUAAUAGCCAUGUCAAUUUACCUGUGAGAUAGAUUGAAUUUUCCCAUCUUGAAAGGGGUGAGAAGGGGUAUCACUUCCCUUCCAUUAACCACCUUCUCCUUCUCUUCCAUUGUCUCCUUGUUCAUCAUCCUUUUCCCACCUUGCUAAUUCAGAAUCUGUGAUGGAAUAUGUGGACUCUUGCUCUUCAUUCUUAUAGUAAAUCAAAAUAGUUGUCUUUUUAACUUUUUUUUUAUCUUUUUUCUGAAAGUCAUAAUAAAUCCAAACGAAUUUAUGUGGACUGUUAACUACUAUAUAUUUUGCCUUGAGUUAAUCAAUUUGCAUUUAUUAUUAUAUCUUUUUUUUAUUAGAAAUAUAUUUGUUUUUAAUACUAUUAAUUGUUUUUCACAGGAUUUAAGAGAAUGAAUUCUUUAUUACUAUUUACACUUUUAUUUUUCCAACUAACAUUUUAUUUUUAUUUUUCUAUCUAGUGUCAUUUAGAAAGUAAAAAUAAAUAAAUUAAUAAAUUAAAUAAAAAAUAUAGUUUUUUUUUAAUUUUUUAUUUACUUUUAAAAUCGUGCUAGACAGAGAAAUAAAAACAAAAAGAUGUUAGAUAUGAAAGUAAAAAACAAAUGGUGAUAGAUGAGAAAAUAAAAGUAUAAAUAGUGCUAGACGAGGAAUUGAAUCAUUUAAGGUAUUUUAUUUCUUUUUCAAUAAAUUUAUUAUGUGUAAUAAUGUAUUGACAACCCAUAUUUUUUAUACAACUACAUUACAAUUCUUAAUAUUAUUAUUUUAAUAUUUUUUUAUAUCAUUUAAUUUUAAAUUUACCCUUUAUCAUAUAUAUUUAUUUCUAAAUUCAUUACAUCAAGACUUGUAUACAACUCAAUGGGUAGUCAAAGUAUCAUUUUUCUUUUGUUAUUUCAUAUAAAAAUUGAAAUUUUAGAUAUUAUUAAAUACUAUUUAAUAUUAUUAAUGUUAAUAAAAAUUAUUAAUGUUAUUAAAUAUUAUUAAUGUUAUUAAAUAUUCUUAAUAUUAUUAAAUAUUAUCCAUAUUAUUAAUAUUAAUAAUAUAAUACUAAUUAUAUUAAUUUUAUAAUAUUAAUAAUAUGUAUACUUAUUAGUUAUGAUUAAAUAUUAUUUAUGAAUAUUAAUUAUGAUUUUGUAAUUAUUGAUAUUAUAAUAAUAUUUUUAAUAUUAAGUAUAUAAUUAUUAUGAUAAUAGUUGGUAGGUAGUAGAGAUCCGUAGGUAAAAAUUGGUAGGUAAUAAGAUUCGUUAGUAAUAGUUAGUAGGUAAUGUUGAAUUUACCUACAAAUUCAUAAUCUGUAAGUAAUAUCCACAUUCCGUAGGUAGUGCUGAAUUUACCUAUGAAUUCAGAUCCAUGGAUAAAAAUUCAUAGAUAAUACUAUUUUUUUUGUAGUGAGAAAGAAAAAUAAUUUUUUACACAAGUUAUUUGAAGUUUUUAUUUUCUUAUCAUUUUAGAGUUAUUGUCCUGAUAUUUGUUGAAAAAAAUUAAAAUUAUGUUGAUGAGUAUCUUAUCACGAAUAAUUGAAAGUGAGUUUAGUAUAUAAUAUAAUCAUUGUUUUUAGUUAUUCUUCACUGUUAUGCCAAUUGAUGUCCACUGCUAUGAAACAUAAUCUCCUUCCCUUUUUAAAUGAUGGCCAUUUUUGAAUUUAGCUUUCUAAUUCAUUUUUCCCUUCACAUACUUUGAAUGAUUUUGUUGUGCAUUGUAUUUGUAGAGAAAAGAAACCGUUGACACUUUUCUCUCUCUCUUUUUUAUCAUUUGAGUUUUAUUUGUGCAUUGUAUUUAUCUCCUUAAAGAAAAUAUUAUGAGUGGGGAUAACUCUAAAUCAUAUUACAAUUAAAAAAAUAAAUAAUUUUAAAAUUGCAUUGUGCUACAUUAUAUAUGUAAACUAGUGUAAUGUGUGUCAUUAUAUUUGUAAACUAGCGUUUUUAGUGUGUAAUGAUCAAAAUAACAUUUUAAAUAUAUUAUAGGUUGAAGAUUUCACAUUAUUUAAAAAUUAAAACAUUUAAUAGUAUAUAAAUAGAUACCAACUUCACUUUAAAAACCGAUUUUAUGAAAUUUAGUUAUACAAAUUAAAAAGAUUAAUUCUUUAUAUUUUUUUAUAUUUAAACUCAAAAUUAUGUUUAUGUUAGCCAAAUAAGAUAUUUCAAUGUGAUUAGAAGUUUGUUGACAUUAAUAAAAAAAAAAUCAAUAAUUUAUAAAAGGAAUGGCUUGGUGGGUAUGAGAGAAUUAUAAAAGUUGGAGGAAGAGUGGAGAAGGUCUUCUUUUUAACAUAUCUUUUUUUAUCACAUUGGUAAGUGGUGAUAGGCCAUAAGAUUUGGGUGGAGAGUGAAAGCUUUCAUGAUAGACUACAUUUAUUUAGCAUAUCUUAAUUAAGGAUUUCAAUGUUCUCUUUUUCUUAAAGUGUAAUCUUCUUCUAACACUUCUUAAUUGUUGUAAAAAUGGAGAGAAGUAUAAUAUAUUCUCAAUACUAAGAUAUGCCAAAUUUUCAGUAUUUUUUUUUCACUAAAGAUAUAAUAAAGAUAUAAGAGACUUUCAACUUGAUAUAAUGAGAUUUGACAAAGUUCAAGGUAAAAUAUUACGUGAACAAAAAGUUUGACAAAACAUGAUAAAAUUACACUCAAUUUAGAUACGUCCAAAGUCUUUACCGUGAAAAAUCAAUAAUUUGAGUAAUUCAAUAACUUCAACAUAUAAAGACUUUUGAACUUCAAGAAAAAUAAAAAAACUACAAUCUUACUUCCACGAAAAAUACUAAUAUGGAUUAAAAAAUCUUAAAGAAAAAUAAAGAAAUUACAACCUUACUUCCACGAAAAAUAACAAUAUGGACUAAAAAAUCGAGACAUCCUCUAGCAAUACCAUUUGUAUUGAUCUUUUGUCCAAUUAAUAUAAAAAAAACUUUGAAAGAACUAAAAUAGACAAAAAAAAAAAAAACUCUUUCCACCUUGUGACAACAUAAAGAAAUUUUAAACAUGGAAAAUAAAAAAUGUCAUCAUGUAUUUUGUGGAAGCAUUACCUAUUAUGCUUAUAUAGCCUUCGAUAAUAUAGAAAAACACAUUGUUUCUAUGUAUACGAGUUUAACAAAUGUUAAAUCUAAUUAUGAUGGAGAUUGUAUUUAAGGUAUGAUAAUUGUAUUUUAUCUAAUGAAAGCUUUUUGUAAACCAUUCGUUUAAGCAAUGUAUUGUGAAAAAAAGGAAUGCCCCUCAUAAUUAAUUGUCAAAUAGAAAGAGUUAUAUAUAUUAAGGAAUGUGAAAAUUAUAUUAGUAAGCAUAACUAUUACCAAUUAUUAUUACUGACUUAGUAAGUUAUUUUCAGGUUUUUUGAUCAUGAUGGGUUAUUUUUUUUGUUUUCACCAAAAUGGAGUCUGUUUAAAAAAAUUACAAAUUUAGACAAGUCGUGCCAAUUCGGCACGACUUCAUAUGCAGAAGUCGUCCCAAUUAGGCACGACUUCUGCCCUGUCAUACUAGUCGUGUCAACUUAGCACGACUUCUGUCACGUCAUAAUUUUAUUUUAUUUUUAUUUAAUUGUUUAUAUAUUGGGUAGUAAGUUAUGUAAUGUUAAAAAUUAAUUUGAUACAUAAUUUUCUAAGAGUGUUAGUUUUAAGGAACAAAAAAUUGGAUAAUUGUGUAUGGAUCAUGUUUGAAUUGAAUGAAUAAAUAAAUAAUUUACUUCUAGCUCAACUUUAUAGUUUUAUUUUAUAUCUUGUAAUGAAUCUUACUAAUUUGUUUAGUUCUAAUUAAUAAUCUCUUCUCAUCAUUACGUGUUCUGUAAAAUCAUUACUUCUCAAGCUAUUUAUUUUGCAAAUUCACAACAAUAAUUCUCUAUUUAUUUUCCAAAUACAAUAAAUUUUCAUUUAUGUAUUUAUUUCCAAAUUCAAUAACAAUUUUCUUCAUUUUUUAAUUAAUCAAAUAAUCAAGUUAUUGUAUUACAUUACCGUCAAACAUGAUCCAUACACAAUUAUCCAAUUUUUUGUUCCUUAAAACUAACACUCUUAGAAAAUUAUGUAUCAAAUUAAUUUUUAACAUUACAUAACUUACUAAAAAAAUAAAAAAGAUUAUGACGUGGCAGAAGUCGUGCCAAGUUGACACGACUUUAGUAUGACAGGACAGAAGUCGUGCCUAAUUGGAACGACUUUUGCAUAUGAAGUCGUGCCGAAUUGGCACGACUUGUCUAAAUUUGUAAUUUUUUUUAAACGGACCCCAUUUUAGUAAAAACAAAAAAAAAAAAACCCCAUCAUGGUCAAAAAACCUUAUUUUCAUUUAAGUUAAAAGAAUUUGCAAUGUAGUUAAAAAUGAUAAUAACAUAAUCUAUACCUAUAUAUAAAGGGGAUUCCUCUCUUUAACUGUUCUCAAUUAUUUUCCUAUUUUAUCCUUAUAUUAAUAUUUAAUUUUAUUACUUUAUUAUUGACAUUGCGUCAUUUUCUAUUUUUUUAAAAAUAUAUUAAAACAGUUAUCACCACUACAAGAAAAUUAUUAAAUAAAAAUUAAUUUUAGUGACUAAAUUAGAGAUCAUUUUAUAGACUAAAAAAAUAUUGGUUUCUAUUAUUGAUAAAUAAUUUCUAAAUUGAUAUCUAAUUAGAUACCAAGAUUUUUGCUACCAAAUUUAGAAUCUAAAUAAUUGGUAGUUAAAAUCUUGGUAGCUAAUUAGAUAUCAUUUUAAAAAUUAUUUAUCAAUAAUAGAAAUUAAUUUAGAAACUAAUAAUUUUUUUGUCUCUAAAAUAUUUCUAAUUUAAUUACUAUAACAAAUUUUUUAUCUUUAAAAUUAGUUUUUAUUUAAUUUUUUUCUUGUAUGGCACAUGCAAUUUUGAAUGUAGAACAAUUUUUUUUUAAAAAAAAUUAAUUUUCUAAAAUAUAUCUUUAUUUCUUCAAUUUUUACGGACAAUUGUUGUUUUCUAAUUUUGAAUUUUUGGUAUUUUAUCACCGUAUUUUCUCUUUUCGCUUUUUCUCACUUUAUCUCUCUUCUUCCUCAAAGAUACAUAUAAUAAUAGUAAAAAAAAAAAAAAAAAUUUGGAUAUAUUCGCUCUCUGCACCUGUGUUCCCUAGUAUAUAAAAAAAAUGAUUAGUGUAAUUAUUGUGCUCAUAUUUUUUUUAAGCCACGUCCAUUUUUAAUUUUUUUAAGUAAUUUUUAAAGUCAAUUAUUAGUAUUUAAUUAUAUAAUCAAGAGUUUUUCCCUGGAUUUGUAAAGUCGAAAUAAAUAUAUUAAAACACGAGUGCAAUUAAUAAUGAAGAAAAGGAAAAAUUGGUACGUCAUGAUAAUAUUAUUUUUUAUUUCACUAGACACCCAUCUCCCUCCCACAAACAAAAUAUAUAUAUAUAUAUAUAUAUAUAUAUAUAUAUGAAUACCAUAAAUAGGGACAUUUUAAGUAACUUAAUAGUGUUUUGGAUGGUAGUCUUAUCCACCAAAAGUUUUCAGACACAUUUGUUCCCCAUCAUACUCAUAAUUUCAAUUACAAUAAUAUUACAACUUAUUAUUAUAUGACAUUAAAAUUGUAUUACUAUAUUACUUUUAACAAGGAUGUCUUUAGAAUUUUUUAACAUUAAAAAUAUAAACCAUUAAAAAAUACCUUGCAUUAUAAUAUUUGCAUUUUAUUAUAAAUUCAAAAUAUAACUUACUUAUUUAAAAUAUUUAUUUAUUAUUAAUGUAAUUACAAAAUAACUAGUUUUGUCAAACAAACCUUAAUUAUUUGAAGGUAGCAACUAAGAGUGAGAAUGAAAUGUUUAUAGUGUUAAUGAAUUUAGUUCUUUCCUUGGAUUCAAACAUCAAAUUCUUUGUGAAAUAUCAAUUAUAUUAAAUCCAUUGGGCAUUAGCAAGUUUUAGUGUUAUUUUCUUGUUGUUCAAUCAUAUAAAUAACCUUUCUAAAAACAUUGAAUUAUAUAUUGGUUGAGAUGGAGAAGGGUUGGUAAAGAGAAAAAAGUAUUCAUGCAUUUAGCACAGUUUGCAAAUAUAUAUUCAAUUAUUAUGAAUGGCAAUGAUAACAUUAUCUUAUCUUAUUACUAAAGACAAUCCACUGAUUCCAUUCUUUGUAUGCCCAAUAGUUAGAGGCAUGUCUGCCCUUCUUUCAGGGACUACUUCAUUAUUAUGCACUUGAAUACAGAUAUCUAACUACAUUCAAUUUCCAUUAUAAACUUUUUUUAAACUUAAUUAUCUUUUUUCAUUUCAUUUAAUCCAUUUACUAAUAAAAAUUUAAAUAAAGUUCCUCAAUAUUGAAAAUGUUAUUUUAAAUUUUAAUUGAAUAUCUCAAUUAUUAAAAAUAAAUCUUUCCCAUAUUCAAAUUAAUGUAACUGGACUAAGCCAUGAAUAACUAAUUUUAAUUCAACAUAUGAGAAUCUCUUAUUAACUCAUGCUCAUGCUUGUGCAUAAUAUUAUACAUUUAUGAAUGAUUAUGCAUUAUAUUAUAUAUUUAUCAUAUUAUAUAUUUAUGGAUCAUCUUAUAACGGAUCCUAUAAUAAAAUUGAAUAAAAUUUAAAUAAUUUUAUUAAAACAAACUUUAAAUGAGUAUAAUAUUACUAGCGAAAACACGUAUAUUGUUCUCUUUUACCAACUUUCAAAAUGAUAGAAAUUUAACAUAAAUAAUUUUAGAUGAGUCAUAAAUAAAAAAGUAAAAAAUAACAUAUGGAAAAGAAAAAUGAUGAAUUUCUCUGGUAGAGUCUCUCUUAUUCCAUUAGUAGUUUUGGGAUCGAAGAGUGUGAUGAUGUUCACGUUGCUUGAAAUGGAGUGAAGAGAGUGAUUGAAAAUUAAUGUUAUUUUAUUUGAUAUGUGAGAUUUGGAGUAGAAACAUGUGAGAAUAUACACUCUCUUUCUUCCGGUUGUUGUCUUAAAAUAAAGAAUUAAGAAAAGAGUGAAAGAAUCAGUUUACCUAUAAAAAGUGUACAUUAAUAUUAAAUUAAAAAAUAGUUUUAUUUUUUAAGUAAUUCAUAUGAAAUGACCAAAUACUUUAUUGUACUAAUAAAAUGAGAUAUAUUAAAUAAGGAUAAAAUAAAAAAAAAUUGUGUAAAAAAAAAAAAAUAGUAAAAUAUCCCUUUUAUAUAAUAAUAUAUUAUUAUAAAAUAAAUUUUAAAUAUAACUUAACCAGUAAUUUUAUAUGUGUAGUACUGAAAUCUCCAAGAGCUUAUUAUUAAAUUGAUUUUUGUAGUCAUAUAUUCUAAUGAGUCAUAUAAUCUACUAUUUUUAUCAUUUCCUUUUCACAAUUGCUACUCUUUCUUGCUCAUUCUAUUUUUUUUUUUUAGAACUAUGCUUAGCCAACUCAAGCUUGACUAUCUACCAUCCAAAACCUUCAUCCAACAUUAGAGAAACCCUUUUUCUUAUCCUAUACACAUUAAACCAAUCUUUAUGAUCCAAGAAGUCAAAACCAACAACACCAUAAAGUCACUAUAGGGACCUUGUAGCUUUUAACCCAUCAAAUCAACUCCAUAAUUCAAAUCAACCAUACUAUUAAAUUUCCCUAAUCAUACACAUCAAAACUCCACCAACCUCACAAAAACCAACAAGUAUACACUAAAAACACUUACUUCACCUAAACAUAGCUUCCGCAAACCUCCACCUUUGAGUUCUUCCAAAAACUCAUCAAGAACAUUAGAAGAGAUACUUGACUAAAACUCACAACCAUUCCCUACCUCUCAAACUGAACCGCACAAAGGCACCUAUAACUCAACCAAACUAAUCUAGGAGCAAGGUUAUUUACCUUAAAACCUUUCUUUUUGCUCUUAAAGUGAGUAAGAAGUGUGGUCAGUAUUUUCUAUUCUGACCCAAAUAUAGUUCUUGUAUUUUUUUUGGGUUUUUUUUUGUUUUAGAGCAAUGUCUUCAAAAGGGUUCUCCUCCUAAACCAAGAACAGCCAAUUUAAUAACUCAAAUAAAUUAUAUGCAAUAAGUAGAAAAUUACUAUUGGAAAUUCCAAUCUGACAUUGCAAGUUAAGUUAAAAAGAAAAGGGAAACAAAUAUUUUAGGUAUAUUAACUUUGAGAACUAAAUAUGGUUAAAAUUACUAUAUUAAAAAUUGAAAGUUAUGGUAGAAUGAUAUUCUAAUUAAUGUAGCUAAGGGAAAAAGAUUAUAGAUAGUCACACUAUUUUCCUAUUAGAAAAAAUAAUAUUAAUCUUUCAACUUCAAAGGUUAAAACAAGAAAAUGAAAGUAUAGAAGAAUAUUAUAAAAGAAAAGGAAGUGAAAUCCAUCAAAUUGAAAUAGAAGAAAGCUUGAAGCCUACCAUAGCAAAAUCCUUAAAUAACUUGAAUCAUAACAUCCAAAACAUAGUACACCUACAAAACCAUAUAUCUUUAAAGAAAUAUUUUUUAUAGAGAACAAAAUAAAAUAAUUUUCAAAAUUAUUUAGUAAGAAAAAACAUAUAUUAUUUAAACAAUAAAAUUAUUAGAAAGGAAAAAUAUUUGAAAAAAACAAAAAACUUAUAUUUAAAAAAUAUGAAAAUGUUGAAAAUAAUAAGAAGAAUAGAAAAAUUAUUUUGAAAAUAUAACCACGUUGUUUUAUGAAAUGCUUUUAUUUCAUAACAACUUCCUUUUAUGUCGGGAAACAAAGUUCUGGCAGCACUCUCGGUUGUUUUUCAACGGCCUAAACAAAAAUGUACCCUGUUUCAUUGUCAAUACAGUUUAUCCUGCACCUAAGUUUUUCUAAGUUUCUUCCUGUUUUCGUAAGUUUUUCUUUACUUACUGCACCCAAAAUGUUAUGAAAAACAAAUAUAUCCCUAAUAUUCUUAAAAAACUCUAAAAUGUACACAACACAAUACCCAGAUCUACAGAAGAAUCCUAAUAUUAAUUGAUAGUCUUUUCUAAUUAUCAGUUGUUUCUCUUUAUAAAGAAUAAUAAUUGGGUGUCUUUUCUAAUUAUCAGUUGCUUAUCUUUAUAAAAGAGAAUAAAGAUGUCUUUUCUAAUUAUCAGUUAUUUAUCUUUAUAGAGGAGAAUAACCUUUAUUUUAUCUUUGUGCGUUAUGAUUCUAGUAUUUAAUUAUUGAUUAUUUCUUUCUUUAGUUAAACCCUAGAAUGAGUGUACUAUUUGUAUAUAUUAAGACCAUUUAUUUUGAUUUGAAUAAUAAGAAAAAAGAGAUAUUCAUUUUCAUAUCUUUUGUAAGUUUACUCUUUUGUUCAUCUCUGUUCUAUUUUGUAAUACUUGUCUUUCUUCUUCCUUUACACGCAUAGUGCUCUCUUAACGAUGGCGCCACUCCACCUCUUGAUAUUUCUCCAUCCCUAAAAUGUGAUUAGUUGUGUCUUCGCUGUGUUGAUGGUUACAUAUGUUGAUGUCAGACAGUACAAUCCACUAGGUUUAAAAAUAAGGAAAUUCGCACUUUGUUUUUUUGUCAGAGAAUUGAAUCCACAAAACUCCCAUAUUCAUGCAUCCAUAAAUCAUUCAGAGUCCGAUAAUUUUCCCAUUGCAUAGUAUGUUUUUGGAUUUCAGAAUCCAAAUAAAAAAAAUACAUUAUGGAUUCAAAAAUCAGUAAUAAAAGGUCGAGACUAAUUUAGGAAUUUUAAAAGUUAUGAGGGUGCAGAAAGAAAAACGUAGGGGUUCAAAAAGAGACUUCCCAUUGUCAAAUGGUUAGAGAUAGUUGUAAUACUACUGCAGUCAGAAAAUUUCUUCAUGCACCUCCAUGGAAAAAGAAACUUAGAAUUUUAUCCUCUUCUUUAUUGAAGAUCCCACCUGCAACUUUCAUUGUGUCUCUUGGUUCAAUCACAUUAACUUUCACUACCAUAACUCCCCACCUUCAACACUACUACUACUGCACACAUAAAUUGUAUUCUUUAAAUAAAGUUGAAGAAAAAAUUGUAUUCAGAAUAAAGAAAUUGUAUUUUUUAAAUAAAAAUAAAUUGUAUUUUUUAAAUAAAAAUAAAUUGGUAAUCCUUUAAAUAAUAUUAAUGUAAGAGUCAUGUAAAUAAGAAAUUUCAACAGUGUUAAUGUGAGGAAAAUAUGCUUGAUCAUUUUUAUGUUACCGGAGACCCAUUGUUAUAGGUUUUGCUGUAAGUGUACGUCUGGACAUGCUCUAAUUACGCCUCCACUUCCUAAGCUUCAAACACAAAUAUUCCCAAACAACAACCACAAAAAACAAAUCUACAAUUAUUUAUUCAUUUAUUUCCACUAAUUUAUCGUUAUUAGUUAUCGUCAUACAAAUUUUCAAAAUUAAGCCAUUAAUAAUGCAGUUAGUUAGCUAGCUUAGUUUAGUAAGUGUACAUAAAUGCUAUUAGAUAAUUUCAAUAAAUUGUAAUUGUUUGGAUUUAAUAUACGGGUAAAUCUAUAAAUUGAUUGUUAAAAAAAUUAAAAGGUAAACAGCAAGAACUCUAUGACCGAUUUUGCUACAAUACUUAAUGUUAUGGUUUUAUUAGUUUUUUAUUUAAUCAACGUAUCAGUGAAAUUUGAUAGCAUUUAUCAAAAUUAAUGUAUCUUCAUCAUUAAGAAAUAUAAUAUAAUAAAUUCAAAAUGCAACUAUGGUCAUUCUUCUAAAUGAAAAAACAACAUUUUGAAUUUUUAAAGAGAUGAAUUUAAUACCUAAAAGGAGGGUGCUCAUAUUUUGAUUUCUGAUAAAAUUUCACUGAAUUAAUAUAUUUCAGAAGGAAUUUAUCGCCCUAAAAAUAAAUUAUACUUAAACUAAAUUUCACUACUUUUAAAAUUAAGCUGCAUACAGGUCACAAAAAUUAAUCAAUUUUUUCUAAAUUAACUUAAUGAGAAAAUGUUAUAAAGAAGUGAAGUAAAAUUCGUAUUUAGGUAACACGACAUGAACACGAGUUUAUAUAUUAUAUAAUUAUAAAUUAUAUAAAUUGAUAAUAAAAAUUUAUAUGCACAAGUAUGUUCCAGAUUUCCAAGACUCGUAAUCGGUCCUCCGAGACUCGUAAUCGGUCCCCCGAGACUCGUAAUCGGUCCCGAGACUAGUUCAUAGUGGAUAGAAUAUAUUACUCAGACAUUUUCAUAUACAAAUGUUAUUUUAAUGAAAGAAAGUAAACUUAAAGUUAAAAAAAAGGAAGGAGGCUAACCUGCGAGAUUUGCGGUAUUAGGCCAAAUCGCGCAGUAAACUACGCUACUAAGUUUGACUUGAAGUCUGAGAACGCUCCCUGUCCCUGCAAAAUGCAAUUCAAUCCAAAACAAAACUGAGAUUUUAUCAGCACAAUAAAAAGGAGAUAGAAAUGGAGGCAGAGCAUCAUCAAGAAGCCUCAAACACUAUUGGAAGCCUUUACGUUAAAGUAAUGACCGACGAACAAAUGGAACUGCUGAGGCAACAGAUAUCUGUUUACGCCACCAUCUGCGAGCAGCUUGUGGAGAUGCACAAAGCCGUAACCACCCAACAGGACCUCGCAGGUUUUUUUUUGUUGCUUCUUUCGUAAAUCUAACUUUCUCAAACCUGUGCAUGCCAUCGCUGCACCCUCUUGAACAGUAGUGGCGAGCAACACACUUUUUUUAUAUAGAAAACGAGGGUUGUAGGUUAUGUUUUUAGCUGAUAUGGGACUUAACUUGAUAAAAUUUCAUUGUUUCAUUAUGCUAGUAAAUGAAAUGUAAGAUCUGUAAUUUGACAGUGGAUAAAGAAACAAGAUGAGUGUGUGAUUUGUUGUUAUACUUUGGGUCAGGGCUGAGGCUGGGUAAUUUGUACUGUGAUUCGUUGAUGGCGUGUUCUGGACACAAGAUAACUGCGAGGCAGCGUUGGACUCCAACGCCUCUGCAGCUUCAAAUUCUGGAACGUAUUUUUGAUGAGGGGAAUGGCACUCCAAGUAAGCAGAAGAUCAAGGAGAUAGCCAUUGAACUGGGCCAACAUGGCCAAAUAUCAGAGACAAAUGUUUAUAACUGGUUCCAGAACAGAAGAGCUCGAUCAAAGAGGAAGCAACUCGCUCCCGCAUCGAAUGUUGAGCCAGAAGCCGACACAGAAGUUGAGUCUCCACGAGAGAAAAAAUUACGCGCCGAAAGCGUUCAGGUUAUUCAACCCUUUGAGAAUUCAUCAUCAUCACCUCAUAGGAUCAAGGAUAUGUACAUCCACAGUCCUGACUUAGGUAUUAUUUUCAAUUAUUAGGAUCAAUUUCUCAAUAAACAUUUGUAUAAUCCCUUCAUAAGGUGGUUUUAAUUUGUAGAUAUGCAAUCUACAUUCUGUUGAUUUGUUUAUGCAGGAUUUGAGCAAUUGAUGAGUAAAAUAGAAGUUGCAGGGUGUUACAGCUCUUAUUUUCUUUGACAAAUGUGUGGAAUGGAUGGGUUGAAGACUCAAUUCUUGAUUGCAGUUUGGUAUAACUAUUUGUUCAGAUGCAAAUUGUAUAAAUUGUUUUGCCUAAGUCUUGAUGAACAGUUACUGUGAUCUGUUACAAUUUUAGGAGUUGUUUUGAAUCUGAUUGCUUCCCCCACUUAGCAUGAGCUUUCACUCAUCUGUGCUAACGUAUAUAUUAUAGUUACCUCAGAUUAUUAUCAUGGUUAGGCUGCAUUUACAUUACAUUUUGUGAGUUGUGUUGUUGUGAAAACCUGCUCAAUCAUUUCUUCAUAUUCUUCCUUUAUUGCUUUGCCUAUGCAGACCAAACAUACAUUCGAUAGAGAAGAGAAAUAAAAUAAUCAUUUAUGCAUUUCAUUCAUAACCAGCACUUUCCAUGGCUAUUGGUGUGGUCAUUCACUACUUUAGCCAACUUUUACACCAUAUUAAGGGGUGAUGAUGAUAUUUUAACAAUCAGUCAAAAUUAUAUAUUUCCUUUUUUGAUAAUUUUUAGAAUUUGAAUGGAAAGUGAGUAGAAAAAGAAGUAAAAAAAUUAAUUGUUUGUAAAUUACAAAAUAUCCUUAAUUUUACUUUAAUUUUGAUAAAAAAGUGAAUAUAAUUAAAAUUGAAAGUUGAGAAUCUUGUCCCCUUAGUUUCAUUUCAUUGGAUAACUUUUAGAAUUAAACACAACAUUCUUCCUUUAACAUAACCAAUGUGUUGAAAUUUUCUCAUAAAUUAUUUCACUCUAAAAGAUUAUAAAAACAAAACUCUAAUGAUUUAUUGAUAUUGAAUGUAUUAAUGCUUCUCUCCUAAAAAAAUCAUAAUGUUUUUAUAAAAAGAAUCAAAGUUAGGAAGAUAUUUCAAGUUUCUUAAUAUUUAAGGUGUGUACGUGUGACUAAAUUUAAUUUAGUAAUAUGUUUAGAUUACUAGCUUAUAUCUUAACAUUUUCAAUUAAUUAAUAUAUUUUUUAAAUAAAUAAAUCCAGUUCUUUUACUUGUUAGAAAUAACUAUAUUCCUUUUUAUAUUUUAAAAUUGACAAUAUUAAAAAUGGGUAACAUCAAAUAAUCACAAAUGGUUAAAAAAAAACACCCCAUAAAUAUUUAUAUAAACUAUGCAGAGAAUGACUUGCAUUCACAAAAAUAUAUAAUUAUCAUCUGAAUAUCAUUAUUAGAAACCAUGAUUAAAGUUGGAAAUGCAAGCCUUAGUCUUCAUUGUAGCUAUUUACAUAUUAUUCUACACAUAGAUUGUGUCCCUGUGCCAACUUCACAAGAGUUGAUGACAUAGUUGGAGUAUAGAUGAGAUGAGAAAGUCUAGAUUUGAAAUUCAAUUAUAAAAGUUUAUACACGUGUAUUUGUGUGAUUAUAUAGAGAUGGUAAGGAUAUUUAAAUCCUUGAAAUUUAAGUAGAAUAGAAAAAAAAAUUCAAAAACUUGCAUCACAUCAUAAUAUAUUGGAUGUAUUGUUGGAAUAACUGUGUUUUUCAUUACAAACAUGAUAAAAAAUAAGAAAAUUUUAUAUAAUAACAAUAGAAAAAUGAAAUUUAUUUUAACAAAUAAAACAAUAUAUUCAUAUAAAGUAAUAAUCAAAAGAAUAAGUUAUUAUUUUUGUAAUACUGAAACACCGAGGACCUGCGUAGUAGUCUCAGGAACUUGGUACAUCCCAUGAAAUUAGGGAUAGUAAAGCGGGAUGGUUCGCGUGAGUCGGUCCGCGAUUCGCUGGUAAAAAACGCGAGCAGGUUCACCUUUUCAACUCGUUAACCCGCAUUAGUCCGUCCUGCAUAACUCGCGGCCCGUGCGGGGUGUGGCGGACUGGUCCGCAAGCUCGCAAACAAAAAAAUAAAAAUUGACUUUGGGAGCAGUGGAGUAAAUGUUCUGUUUUUCUUCCUUUUUCAUUUUGGGGUAGAAAAUUGCAAGGGUCAUUGAAAUUAUAAUUUCCUUGAGACUCCUUUUUGGUCUAGUUUUAGGGAUGAGAAUACAGGAUGUUGGAUAUGAUAUUUUUCAUGUAAUUUGGAAUAAAUAAUAGUGGAUAUGUUAGGUAGUGGGUAAGUCAAGAAUAUUGGAAGGUUGAUACUUGGAUUAUAUAACAUUCAAUUAAUGUUUAUUGCUACAUUAAUUCUAAUGUCUUUGUUUUUUAUGACAAUUUUUCAAAAAAUCAUUGAAUUUCUAUUUUUUUUUAAUGCGGUCUGACCCACAAACCCGCAGACUAACCCUUAUGCGAGGAGAGAUGAAAAAUUUAGCGCGCACUCAUUUUGUGGGACGUGUUAAUCCGACCUACAUUUUACAAACCAAAUGCGGGACAGACCUAUGCGGGUGGACUGAUCCGCUUUGCCAUCCUAUAUGAAAUUCCACUAAAACUCUAAACAUGCUAUUAUUCAAUAAUGCAUCAAAUUAUCCAUAUAAUAUAAUUAAGAUAGUCUUUUUAAGAGCAACUUAACCGUCUGUAUUAUACCCAAAAUAAUUGUACAGAUAAAAAAAAAAAUCCCAAAAUCAAAAGAUAAAUAAAAAGAUACCUAAAAUCUAACCUAAUGCUUAUAAAUUAAAGCACAUUUAUAAAUAAACCCACUCACAACAACUUGGAGAUGGAGAUUGGAAAUCCGUAUAGAAGGUAAUUCACAGGAAAUUCCUCUUAUAAAAAUAUUUUUAUCAAUAAUUUAUUAAUAUUAUUUUUUACUGUAGGAAUUGAACUGAGGGUAAGAAAGUUUACUACUGCAACUAAUACAUACUACUAAACACAAUUAAACUAUAACCAAUUUCUUAAGUUGGUAAUAUUUAUUUCCGCACAUUUUGUUUGUAAGUUUUGAAUGUUUAAAUAUGAAAAAUAGAAAAAAAAAUCAUCUUAAUUCAAGUUUUACAUGAAUUAAUGAGGAUGCUAAUUAAAAAAUGAAAAUAACUAUUAUUUUUAAACAUAUUUUUUUGUUCUAUACACAUGGAGUUAUUAACUUCAUAUUCAAAGAAUAAAGUCAUUGCUUAUUAUAUCAUGUCAUAUACAAUGAUAUCUUUAAUAGUAACUUUAUUUUUUUCAAAAUGACUAAAAUAAUUGCUGUAAUUUUUUUAUACAUGACAUAGCAAAAAAAGGUUUUGGUUAACCAUUGAUCACGCUUAUUAGUUUGAAAACGCCAAUAAAGGUAAAUAUUAAAAGAGCACAGUCAAUAAAAAAAAAGGAAAAAAUUAUUUUUUUAUAAUACUAGUGGUAAAAAAUAAUACAAAAUAAAAAAAUAUUAUAAAUCAAAUGUGAUUAUUUUACCUUGAAAAGAAAUGAAAAUUACUUUUCAGGUUGACUUUUUAUUGGUUUCUACAGUUAAAAUGAUAUCAAUGAAAAUGACAAAUUUCUUAUACUCUUGAUACAUCGAAACCCUAAAUUAUAAAUAUCACUAACUAAUAAAAAAUGGAAGAUCACUCAUUCCUUAAAAAAAUGUUGACAAAAAAUAAAAAGGCUUGAAAAAAAGAAUAUUAACACUUAUCAAAGUAUCAAGUAACCAUUACUUUUUGAAAUUGGUUCAUCUUUCUCCUUUUCCUAUUAUUAUUAGAAAAAUAAUAUGUUUGUAAUAAUUAUUGUAAAUCUUCACAUUUUAAAAUGUUACUAUUAAAAAAAUGAUAUAAUAUCACAAAUAAUUUUUUAUUAAAUAUUUGUGUAAAAGUGUUCCAUGAUGGGUAAUAAUAUACAUGAGUUAAACUUUUACAUAAUUAAUUAAAAUAAAAAUGAUCUAUAUUUAUGAAACUUAUAUUAUUAUUAUUAUUAUUUGUUAUUUGGUUCCAGUGUCUGAACGGUGGGAUAAUUACUAUAUGUAGAUAUCGAUGCAAUGAAAUUGGUAUUUCUCCGUUUAGGCACAGCCAGUGCUACGGUCGUUACAGUUGGAGAAGAAGGCAAAUCUCAGCAACUCGCCGGAAAUCAAAAUAAGAACACUUUUCAAUUCACUUUUUGGCCUUCCUUUGGUACUUCCAAUUCUGCCAAUUCACGCACAAACGCGCUGUAAUCCAAUUCCCUCUUCCCUCGCAAUUCCUCAAUUCCACGAAACAAAUCCCUAGCCCACCACUACAGGGCGUGCGAUCUACUCUGCGGUCGAAGACGAAGGAAGUGCAAUGGCGGCUCCUAACAUGGAUCAGUUCGAAACGUAUUUCAGGAGAGCAGAUUUGGACGGAGAUGGCAGAAUCAGUGGAGCUGAAGCCGUCUCUUUCUUCCUGGGAUCCAAUUUGCCCAAACAAGUUCUCGCCCAGGUUUUAUUCUAUUUCAAAUUUCCAAUCUAAAGUAAACGUGUCAAUUCACUAACUUAAAUUGAUUGUUUCGUUAUGUGUUUACUCUUGGAGGCAUUGGAUUUUCAGCAUCGAUGGUUAUGCUUUCGAUAUUGUUCGCUUAGAAUAUCUUAUUUAGGCCUCUCUUCUAUGCUUUUCCUUGAAAAUGUUAACCGAUCUAGAUUAUUCUUGUGUAAUGUUUCGUGUCCUCGGUGUGAGUUGCAGGUAUGGGCGUAUGCUGAUCAGGCCAAAACUGGUUUCCUUGGGCGCGCAGAGUUUUUUAAUGCUCUGAGGUUAGUUACUGUGGCUCAGAGUAGGCGAGAUUUAACGCCUGACAUUGUGAAGGCAGCGUUAUAUGGUCCUGCUGCUGCUAAAAUCCCCGCGCCGCAGAUUAAUCUUGCUGCCGUAUCUCAACCUGUCCCGAGGCCCUCUGCUGGAUCUGUUGGACAGAUGGGUGUUACUGGACCCAAUUCAGCUCAAGGUUUUGCCUAUAGAGGACAAGGGUUAGCAGGUCCUGGUGCAAGCCCGCAAUAUUAUCCUCCACAGCAGAAUCCUGCCAUCAGACCUCAUCAAUCAAUGCCUGUUACCGGUGCUGCGCGUCCGCAACAGGGUGUUGCAGGCCCUGAUAUUUCUAGAGGAGUUAACAUGGGUGGUCACAAUUUCUCAAAUCCUGGGCUAUCAAAUGAUUGGAAUAAUGCUAGGCCUGGUAUGGUGGCUACCAGACCUCCAGGAAUGAACCCGUCAGCUGCCUUCCAGACGUCACAGUCUCCAAUUUCACCAAUGCCCCAGUCAUCUCCAAUUUCACCAAUGCCCCAGUCAUCCCCAAUUUCACCAAUGCACCAGUCAUCUCCA
rnacentral:lncRNA from 1 species